UACGGGGGGAGCAAGCGUUGUUCGGAUUUACUGGGCGUAAAGGGCGCGUAGGCGGCCAGCGCAAGUCAGUUGUGAAAUCUCCGGGCUUAACUCGGAACGGUCAACUGAUACUGCGCGGCUAGAGUGCAGAAGGGGCAACUGGAAUUCUCGGUGUAGCGGUGAAAUGCGUAGAUAUCGGGAAGAACACCCGUGGCGAAGGCGGCUCUCUGGGACGGUACUGACGCUGAGACGCGAAAGCGUGGGGAGCGAACAGG
rnacentral:rRNA from 1 species